AAAAAAAAAAAAAUAAAUUCCCUUUUUUCACGCCUGAUUUCGCCCUUGCCACCCCCAACGGCCAAGCACAAACCUUCAAAUUGAGUAAACUAGGGUUUUGAAUUCAGAUUUCAAUUCCAAUGGCAUCAAACGAUCAUCUCGACGACGUAACCGCUCUUAAUCUCAAUACUAUUUCUCACUCCAGUUUUGUAUUGACUUAUUCGUUGAUUUUUAGUUUUUAUUAAGUACGACGGUCUUGAAAAAUCACAGGACGAUGAUUUUGGAGGCGAUUUCUCAGGAGGCAACAGCUCGAGGCGGCCAGGUUUUUUAAAUCGUUCAAUGUAGCUUAGUAAAAAUGUUUCCUUGUCGUAAAUACUUAUUAUUUCAAUAUCUAUUGUUGGGUAUUUGGCUUAUUAGCUAAUAAGAGAAGCUUUGGAGAUCUUGACGAUGAUGAAGAC
rnacentral:lncRNA from 1 species